rnacentral:rRNA from 1 species
CCCUUAGAUGUUCUGGGCCGCACGCGCGCUACACUGAUGCAUUCAACGAGUCUAAAACCUGGUCUGAUAGGGCUGGGUAAUCUUUUGAAUGUGCAUCGUGAUUGGGAUAGAUGAUUGCAAUUCUUCAUCUUCAACGAGGAAUGCCUAGUAAACGCAAGUCAUCAGCUUGCAUUGAUUACGUCCCUGCCCUUUGUACACACCGCCCGUCGCACCUACCGAUUGAAUGGUCCGGUGAAAUCUUCGGAUCUGAGAGAUGUUGGAUUAAUUUCUGACGCCUUUUGGAAAAGUUGCUUAAACCUUAUCAUUUAGAGGAAGGUGAAGUCGUAACA